AUUGAACGCUGGCGGCAUGCUUUACACAUGCAGUCGAACGGUAACAGGCCGCAGGGUGCUGACGAGUGGCGAACGGGUGAGUAAUGCAUCGGAACGUGCCCAGUCGUGGGGGAUAACGCAGCGAAAGCUGUGCUAAUACCGCAUACGAUCUAUGGAUGAAAGCGGGGGACCGUAAGGCCUCGCGCGAUUGGAGCGGCCGAUGUCAGAUUAGGUAGUUGGUGGGGAAAAGGCUCACCAAGCCAACGAUCUGUAGCUGGUCUGAGAGGACGACCAGCCAAACUGGGACUGAGACACGGCCCAGACUCCUACGGGAGGCAGCAGUGGGGAAUGUUGGACAAUGGGCGCAAGCCUGAUCCAGCAAUGCCGCGUGCAGGAAGAAGGCCUUCGGGUUGUAAACUGCUUUUGUACGGAACGAAAAGGUUUGGGUUAAUACCCUGGGCCGAUGACGGUACCGUAAGAAUAAGCACCGGCUAACUACGUGCCAGCCGCCGCCGUAA
rnacentral:rRNA from 1 species